rnacentral:lncRNA from 1 species
AACCUUGGCACUUUUGUAAAAAAGUUGACUGACUGUGUCUGUAUUGAUCUAUUUCUGGACUCUUUAAUGUUCCUUUGAUCUAUAUUGUCUACCUUUAUGGCAAUACCGCAUUGUCUUGAUUAUGUAGCUUUGUAAUAAGUCCUAAAAUUAGGUAAGGUUAAAUCUUCCAACUUUGUUCUUCUUUUGUAAAAUUGUUUUGCUUAUUCUAGGUACUUUUUAUUUCCACAUACCUCUUAUAUUUUAUUCUUAUUUAAAAGUUUUUUUAUUGGAAUUCCCGUCGUGGCGCAGUGGUUAACAAAUCCGACUAGGAACCAUGAGGUUGCAGGUUCGAUCCCUGCCCUUGCUCAGUGGGUUAACGAUCCGGCGUUGCCGUGAGCUGUGUGUAGGUUCCCAGGCUAGGGUCGAAUUGGAGCUGUCACUGCUGGUUUAUGCCACAGCCACUGCAAUGCUGGAUCCUUAAUCCCCUGAGCAAGGCCAGGGAUGGAACCUACAUCCUCAUGGAUGCUAGUCAGAUUUAUUUCUGCUGAGCCAUGAUGGGAACUCUGAAAAAUAGCUUAAUUUGAGGAGAAUUGAUAUCUCAACAAUAUUGAGUCUUUCAAUCCAUAAACAUUGUAUAUCUAUCCAUUUAAUGUUCAUUUAAUUGGGUCUUCUUAAAAUUUUUGUAGGAAUAUUUUAUAGUUUCCUGUAUAAAAUUUCUCACAUAUUUUGCUAAAUUUAUCCAAAAUUAAGUUUUUGUGUUAUUAUUAGUGAUACUUUUAUACUUUUAUUUCUAACAUUAUUGCUAAUAUAUAGAAAUAUAUUUGAUUUUGUAUAUUGACUUUUUAAUCAUGUGAUCUUACCAAAUUUAUUUAUUCUUGUUUUUUUCACCAUGCCUGCAGCAUGUGGAAGUUCCCAGGUCAGAGACUGAACCCAAGCCACUGGGUUGACAACACAGGAUCUUAACCCACAGCACCACAGGGGAACUCCUAUUUAUUAGUUUUGAUAGCUUUUUGUGGGUACUUUAUGACUUCCAAAAUAGACAAUCGUUUUGUCUUUGAAUAAAGAUAAUUUCCUUUUCAGUCUGGAUAGCUUUUCUGUGUUUUACUUUUCUUAUUGCACUGUCUAGGACCUCCAGUAAAUGUAGAAAAGAAGUGAUGAGGUGGUCAUUUUUGCCCACCCAACCUUUGCAGGAGAGCAUUCAGUCUUUGUAUUAUGUUCGCUACGGAUUAUUCAUAGAUAUUCCUUAUCAAGUUCAGAAAGUUCCGGUCUAUUUCUUGUUUACCAAGUGACUUUUGAAUUUUGUCUAAUGAGAUGAUCAUAUAGUUUUUUUUUCAAUUGUGCUAGUCUGGUGGAUUACAUUGAUUACUUUUCAAGUGGUAAACAAACCUUUUAUUCCUGGGAUAAACCUGAUUUGGUCAAGUCUCAUUUCCCUUUCUAUCUAUUGCUAGAUUUGAUUUGCUAAAAUUUUGUUAAGGGUCUAUGCUCAUUAGGGAUUCAGUUCUUUUCUUGCAAUCUUACAAUCAAAUCUUUUUUCUGAUUUGGGUAUCAGGGUAGUGCUAGCCUCAAAAUAUGAGCAGGGAAAUGUCCCUUUUUUCCCUCCUUUUUCUGAGAGUUUGUGUAGAAUUGAUCCUAUUUCUUCCUUAAACGUUAGGUAGGACUUACUACUGAAGCCAUCUGGACCUGGAAUUUUCUUUAUGGGAAGAUUUUUUUUUUAAUUGAUUUACUUUUUAAAAAAUGUUUGGGUGUUCCCCGGUGUGAUCUAGUGGUUAGGACUCAGUGCUUUCACCACUGUGGCCUGGGUUCAAUCUCUGGUCUAGGAACUGAGAUCCCACAUCAAGCCACUGCAUGCUGUGGCCAAAAUAACUUUUUUAAUUUUUAAAAUAAAAAGUUCACAUUGAGAUAAAUUCCACAUAACAUAAAAUUCACCAUUUAAACCAUUUUAAAGUGUAUAAUUCAUUGGGUUUUUACUAUACUCACAGUCUUGUACAAUCAUUCUCACCACCUAACUCCAAAAUA